rnacentral:rRNA from 1 species
ACUGCUCAGUAACACGUGGACAACCUACCCUUAGGACGGGGAUAAACCCGGGAAACUGGGUAUAAUACCCGAUAGUCCUCGACUGCUGGAAUGCAUCGAGAACUAAAGCUCCGGCGCCUAAGGAUGGGUCUGCGGCCUAUCAGGUAGUAGUGGGUGUAGUGUACCUACUAGCCUACGACGGGUACGGGUUGUGAGAGCAAGAGCCCGGAGAUGGAUUCUGAGACACGAAUCCAGGCCCUACGGGGUGCAGCAGGCGCGAAAACUUUACAAUGCUGGAAACAGCGAUAAGGGGACCUCGAGUGCCAGGUUACAAAUCUGGCUGUCGUGAUGCCUAAAAAGCAUUGCAUAGCAAGGGCCGGGCAAGACCGGUGCCAGCCGCCGCGGUAACACCGGCGGCUCGAGUGGUAACCGUUAUUAUUGGGUCUAAAGGGUCUGUAGCCGGCCGGAUAAGUCUCUUGGGAAAUCCAGCAGCUCAACUGUUGGGCUUUCAGGAGAUACUGUCUGGCUCGAGGCCGGGAGAGGUGAGAGGUACUUCAGGGGUGGGGGUGAAAUCUUGUAAUCCUUGGAGGACCACCAGUGGCGAAGGCGUCUCACCAGAACGGACCUGACGGCAAGGGACGAAAGCUAGGGGCACGAACCGGAUUAGAUACCCGGGUAGUCCUAGCCGUAAACGAUACUCGCUAGGUGUCGGCCACGGUGCGACCGUUGUCGGUGCCGUAGGGAAGCCGUGAAGCGAGCCACCUGGAA